rnacentral:rRNA from 1 species
UGGGGAAUCUUCCGCAAUGGACGAAAGUCUGACGGAGCAACGCCGCGUGAGUGAAGAAAGGGUUUUCGGAAUCCGUAAAAACUCUGUCUUUUUGGGGCGAACGUGAGUAUGGUGAAACAAUCAUAGUCAGUGACGGUACCAAAGGAGGAAGCCACGGCUAACUACGUGCCAGCAGCCGCGGUAAUACGUAGGUGGCAAGCGUUGUCCGGAAUUAUUGGGCGUAAAGAGCGCGUAGGCGGGAUAGUCAGUCUGUUGUAAAAGUGCGGGGCUCAACCCCGUGAUGGCAAUGAAACAGCUAUUCUUGAGUGCAGGAGAGGAAAGUGGAAUUCCCAGUGUAGCGGUGAAAUGCGUAGAUAUUGGGAGGAACACCAGUGGCGAAGGCGACUUUCUGGACUGUGUCUGACGCUGAGGCGCGAAAAGCCAGGGGGAGCGAACGGGGAUUAGAUACCCCCGGUAGUCCUGGCCGUAAAACGAUGGGUA